AGUCAGACUUGAAGGCUCUAGGAAACAUGGCUUCCACUCCCUUGACUCUUUCUGUUCCCCCUAACACCAGUUCUUCCCUUUCCCUUUGGGAAAAAACAGUAAGGACACAAAACACUUUUAUUUUUUCUCUUUUAGCAGUUAAAUUAUCUUAUGAAUAUGACUUCUUUCUAAUGAAUCCUAUACCAGAACAACUAAAGUUGUGCCAAACCCACUGAUUGAUCUGGUGCCAUGUUUUGGGGCUGAACUAAGUCAUGGGCCACGUCCAAUCAGCAUAGCAUGGGAAAAAUGCAAAACAGAAAAUUAAUCCUACAAGGUUUUUCACAUAGUCUAGCACCUGUCAGUGAAAAUCAGUAAUGUGUUACACUACCCUCUUCUUUUGUGUGAGAAAGAUGAAAACAUUUCAAAAUGUACAGUAAAAAAGUGUUGUAUUAAAAACAAAAGGCCAAAGCAAUAUAGUUGGUGUGAAGAUUGGUCAGGUAUAAAACCAUUCCUUUUUAAUAAUGAUUUGUUUUCAAAGAACAUGAAGCACAGAAAAAUAAAGUUUAUUAAUUAACAAUUUUCAUUUGUUCCCAUCCACAGGAAAAUGGAUGACCAAAAAGAAUUAAAUAAUUCAAUGAUUUCCCUGGAAUCAGCAAACCACAUUGCAGUAAUUAUUUGAGUAUGAGUCUUAGAUCUUUUGUUGGACCCCAGAGUUCCUGCAGGAAAACAAAUCUGUAUUACAGGGCCCUAAUGGAUCCAUAUUCCCAGCCCCUUGAGGUUGAGCAAUGCAGGGUGAAGGGAAGCUGAGCACACCACUUCCAGAUGGAAGCCCUUAGGAGAUGGUGCUGACUCCCCUCAGCAUGAAGCAAUACCUUGCACUCCUAAGUAAAGACAACACAGAACAGCACUCACCACUGACAUGUUGCAGGAGCAAGGAAGACAAACAAGCAAACAAAAUCCAAACUUUAUGUUGUUGAAAGCCUCUGAGAUUUUUAAGGAUUUUUGUUACUGCAACACAUUCUACUCUACCUUAAAUAAUAACCAGAGUCUAUUUAUAUGUGAGAAUCAAAUGAUGCCAUUUUUUUACAUAACUUACUCUCAUUCCUACUUAUUAUUGAAUCCACAGAAAGAUCAAAGAUGUGAACAGUAAUAUACUGUGAUGAUCCUGCUGGCUCUGCCUGUAUCUUCAGCAGGAAUGUCUAGGGAAAGAAAUUUAGUCCAUCAGCAUUAAAAUUGUGAAUUUGGGUGAGAAAAAAAAAAAAAAGAAUAGCUGAGACAGGGUGAAGAAAAACAUGAGAAAUGCAUUUAGUUUGGAAGAGGAUUCUAUCUGAAAAGAGUUAGUGCCUAAGGCCCGACAGACUCAUGUUGCUGUUACUUUAUUUUUUUCAGAAGAUAGGAAGAAGCAGAAAUGACUACAUCAUAUGCAGUCCAAUAAAUCUGAUCAUUUUUGGAGCAGAGGACUUGUUAAUUAUUGAGUCCCAACUGCACACUUUAGUUAGUGCUGUGGAGAUCUAAAAGGGAGGCCUGGGCAGGAAUUCCUUCUCUCCAUGUUCUUCCCUCUCAGGUUGGUCUUGAGGUCACUGAUUUCAGAUACCAUUAGGCAGGUUCAAUGUGUAUUCAAAUUUGUUUCCCCCAUGUUUUUAUGUAGAUGGUGUAAAAAAUAAUUUCUUAAAGAUAUUAAUUAGCUCAAGUGGAUUCAAACUAUGCACUAUAGGUGUUCUCAGGAGAAAGAAAAAGGAAGGUAAAUUGAGUAGUUACUUAUAUGUGUGUGUGUAUACAUUAUAUGCUGAAGGCACACCCAACAGAUGCACAUAAUUACAAUAGUCCCAUUAUAAAAAUAUUCACCUUGUCUUCAUAUUAAAGAGAAUGAAAAAGAAAAGUAUCAGUGGCAUUUCCAAGUUUUCAUAUCAAGUCCCUAGUUUUGGAAAAUUUGAAAUCAAAGAUUUAAUAACUGGUCAAAUUCUCACAGUGAUUAAAAAUAUCAUAUACCUUACUUUUAAUUUAAUGAACUAGCUCACAUCAACUCUUAUAUUCUAUGCUUUAUUUCUAUUUAUGAUACUAAAACUGAGACUUUAUGAUAUAUGUUCCUUGCUCUUUAUAAAAUUCAAUAUAUCCAAAUAUGUUUUUCGCAUAUAACUAAAACAUUUAUUACAAACAUCCUUUAAAUAGUAAGCCCUCGAUGAAUUUAAAUGCUGAUGGUCCAUCAACUGAUUCACAGAGAAUCUUGAAGGGCAAAAACUGAUGAAGGUGUUAUAUGGAGCAGUGCCAAUUGCAAAUCAAUCAGAAAUGCAAAUAAAAUAGCUCUCCUACUGCAAGUCAAUGUAAUUAGGUUUACCCUUAUUUGAUUUGCACAAAACUUUUCAGAAAUUUGCCUACUGAAUAAAUGACACGUAUGCAUAAAAUUAAUUGAAAAGUCUAGUGUUUGUAUGCUCUGCCUCCAGGCUGCAAAUUUCUCAAAUUAAUUUCUAAAUUUGCCAAGACAUGUUUUCAGUCAAUGAGAAUAACCAUUCUUACACAAAAUUGCACGAACAUGUUAAACUAUUUAUGCAUUUCCAAUUUCGGAAAACUCCUCAGCCACACCCCAUCAUCGAGCUUCCAACUUGAAACUUCUCAUCUAUCCUUCCUAUUUUUUUCCUGUACUUCAGUCCUAUCUUUCUGACUCCAAACAGAACACAUUUACUAAUUCUCAAUCUUCAAAUAGCAUGUAUUCUUUCAAAGUCUUUUUAUGGAAUACUAAUCUUGUAGGCACUGGGCUAGGUGUGGGAAAGACAGCACUAACCAAAUAAUACUUUCCUAAUAUCAUUUAGGUUCCAAUCUAAAACCAACUCUAGGGGCGCCUGCGUGGCUCAGUCGGUUGGGCGUCCGACUUCGGCUCAGGUCAUGAUCUCGCAGUCCGUGAGUUCGAGCCCCGCGUCAGGCUCUGUGCUGACAGCUCAGAGCCUGGAGCCUGCUUUGGAUUCUGUGUCUUCCUCUCUCUCUGACCCUCCCCCGUUCAUGCUCUGUCUCUCUCUGUCUCAAAAAUAAAUAAACAUUCAAAAAAAUUAAAAAAAAAAAAUAAAACCAACUCUAAAUUUCCUCCAUUGGAUAAAAACUCUCCAAUUGUUCCUGUGACUUGAAAAAAAAAUUUAGGCACUAUUACCUGAAAUUAUUAUUUUACUUUUUUCUUUCUCUCCAAUCUGCCCCUAAGUAGUACUUUUUUCAGCAUUUUUAUCUUUGUCGUUAAUAUACGAGGAAAAAAUGCUAUUGAACAGCUAUCACAUGUCAAGAACUGUUCUAGGUUGUAGAAAUAUAAGAAUAAAAACCAAAACAAAAAAAGCUUACCUAUUACAGGGAGAGAGAUAGACAAUAAAUAAAAAUAAAGUGGUUAAGAAAGCUAUGAAAAAAAGAAAUGCAUGAAAAGACUAGGGAGGGUGAUUGUGGGGGUUAAUUUUAACAGUCAAAGAAGACCCUCCUUGCCCUUUGUAUAAUGUAGAGUAUUUCUGGUGCCUUAUUACCUUAUGCUUGAAUGAGUAUAAUCUGUGGUCUCCCUGACUUUCCUAUCUCAUCCUCCUAGCUGUCUUUUUUAAUCCUUCCAGACUACUCUUCAGAAGACACUGGGUGUAAUUAUCACAUUUCACUUUUUAUAAAAUGACUUCCAAUUGAUUCUAUGCUAAAGAUAUCAACUCUAAAAUUUUAUCUCAUUAUCUGGUCCUCCUUAAGUUAUCUCAACAACUUCCCACUCCUCCCUGGUGCUGACUCCCAAGUCUGUCCCCUUCUUCCCAUGUCUUUAUUCAAGCUGAUCUCCUGUCUUGGAAUUCUCUACCCUUUCCUUUCCAAUAUCUCCCUUCCCUUCUCCUAAACCUCCACUCAAGCCUCAGUUUUCUCCUGAAGUUUUUCUGUCUAACCUUGGAUUUGGAGAGAGUCUUUUCUCCAAAGUUCUAUAAAAAGAAGAUUGAAAACCAAAAAUUUAGAUCUUUAUCUUACCCUAACUUAUAUCACUCUUUAACUAUUGUGUGACAGUCUCCAGUCCUGCUUCAGCUGGUAGGACUUCAGCUCAGCACUGACAAAGACCAGUGCUCAUCACUUGGUAUCUUUGUCCCCUGAGAACAGGCAUAACGUGUUCUCAUGCUCUUUUAAAUAUCCCUCAUUGUCUACAACAAGAACUCCAUAAAAACAGUCUUUUGAUUAUGAAUACAUUUCUUGUUUGUUUAUGUUUUUAAAACAGAAAAUCUGGAGACUAUUUCUUAGGUUUAUAAAUUUCUGACCUCCUUCUUCUAAUUAACCUUGAAGUCCCACUUGAAAUAUUCUGCCUCUUAGAGGUUCCAUAUAUCACCAUCUAUCUCCAGUGAAUAAUUUGGCUUCCCACAUCAGAAGAUUCCACUAAAUAAUGAAGUUACAAAAAUGUAACCCCAGAGAGCACUUACAUUAUUUAGAUUAUUUUCUUUUAUUCACUGUUGGAACUUCCUUUAAUCCUGCAGUGCCUCCUAGAAUGCAUAGUUCGUUUUAAAUUAUAACACAUUAUGUAAGUCAUACCAAAAUCCACCCAUUACCUUCAUAUGCCAGAGAUCCUAAAAUAAAUUUGUUUUUUGAAAACUUUUCAUAGAAAAUUGUGAUGAUAUUUUGUCAUCCUUGAUACUCAGUCUCCUAGUUCCCCGACAUCCCAUGGUGUAAAACUCUGGGCAAAUAUCUGCCUACUACUCUUCACUUUGUGAGAAAGAUGAAGGCAAGACAAUCUUCAUGGGACCCAGCUUCCUGUAACCACAGAGACCAAAGAAUCUGAACACUAAAGUGCCUUCUAACUGGGUCCAGGUGCUGCGUUUUGUGUAGCUGAUCUGCCCAUGAGUGAUUCCUCUUUGCCUAGUGUUUAAGAUGCACGCAAAUAGAAAGCCAGAUUGUUUUUGUUGUUUUCUGUGCUCUUGGCUACUUCAUUCUAAUAUUAUCACAUAUCACAUAUAGAAAUAAAAGCUUUAAAUCUUUUUAGGACUCUGUCUAGGGAUAUUUUGCAUGCUUCUUUUGCAAGUCCGCUGCCACCGCUUCAGAAACUCCCCUUCAUUCAGGAUA